UGUCGCGCCAAAUCCUGGGCCGCGUCCAUCCCUGGCCUCUGUACUAAGCUCCCCCGGCACCUCUGGCGAGCGGCGGCGGCGUCGGCAAGCGCCGGAUAGAGCCGACAUGGCGUGGCGGGCGAUGGGGGCGGCGCCUCCAGCAUGCAUCACGCCGGCCACGGCAACAAACCCUCCAGCUAGCAAAUCCACUUCGCUUCCCUCUUUCUCCGCGAGAUCCACAACAGCCGGAUGCGCCACAGUCUGCAUUCACCUUCCCUCUGCACUUCUGCAGCCCGCGCCGCCGCCGUCAACUGAUGGUUUGUCGCCCAGAUCUGGCGGUAGCAGUGGAGCAGGUCACUCUACCUGCGAAUAUGUGGCAGUCUACUUAUUGUUGAAUGAAUUUCAAGUGUUGCACUCUACUCUGUAACCAUGUGCAUUUCUGAAUGCAGUGAAAUUGCUUCUAUAUACUUCCUCCGUUCUUUUUUAUUAUUUGUCGCUGUUUAGUUCAGAAAUGAACUAGCGAGUGACAAAUAUUCAAAGACGGAGUGAGGUAGUACAUUGUUAGUUUCUUUUUUUCACAAAGUAUGAAUCUGUAUCAAUGCUGCCAUUUGGGGAUGUACAGAUGUUCCUGGCUAAAUAGCUAGAUGGACUGCACAUCAAUGUAGCUGUUCUGUUUGGUAGAUUAUAAUGCAC
rnacentral:misc_RNA from 1 species